UACGUAGGGGGGCAAGCGUUGUCCGGAAUCAUUGGGCGUAAAGCGCGUGUAGGCGGCUGGGUAAGUCCGCUCUGAAAGCCCGGGGCUCAACCCCGGGAGGCGGGUGGAUACUGCUCAGCUCGAGUCCGGAAGAGGAGUGUGGAAUUCCUGGUGUAGCGGUGAAAUGCGCAGAUAUCAGGAGGAACACCAAUGGCGAAGGCAGCACUCUGGGACGGUACUGACGCUGAGACGCGAAAAGCGUGGGGAGCAAACAGG
rnacentral:rRNA from 1 species